rnacentral:rRNA from 1 species
UGGGGAAUAUUGGACAAUGGGCGAAAGCCUGAUCCAGCCAUGCCGCGUGUGUGAAGAAGGUCUUCGGAUUGUAAAGCACUUUAAGUUGGGAGGAAGGGCAGUAAGCGAAUACCUUGCUGUUUUGACGUUACCGACAGAAUAAGCACCGGUUAACUCUGUGCCAGCAGCCGCGGUAAUACAGAGGGUGCAAGCGUUAAUCGGAAUUACUGGGCGUAAAGCGCGCGUAGGUGGUUCGUUAAGUUGAAUGUGAAAGCCCCGGGCUCAACCUGGGAACUGCAUCCAAAACUGGCGAGCUAGAGUAGGGCAGAGGGUGGUGGAAUUUCCUGUGUAGCGGUGAAAUGCGUAGAUAUAGGCAAGAACACCAGUGGCGAAGGCGACCACCUGGGCUCAUACUGACACUGAGGUGCGAAAGCGUGGGGAGCAAACAGG